rnacentral:rRNA from 1 species
CUACGUGCCAGCAGCCGCGGUAAUACGUAGGGUGCGAGCGUUAAUCGGAAUUACUGGGCGUAAAGCGGGCGCAGACGGUUACUUAAGCAGGAUGUGAAAUCCCCGGGCUCAACCUGGGAACUGCGUUCUGAACUGGGUGACUAGAGUGUGUCAGAGGGAGGUAGAAUUCCACGUGUAGCAGUGAAAUGCGUAGAGAUGUGGAGGAAUACCGAUGGCGAAGGCAGCCUCCUGGGAUAACACUGACGUUCAUGCUCGAAAGCGUGGGUAGCAAACAGGAUUAGAUACCCUGGUAGUCCACGCCCUAAACGAUGUCAAUUAGCUGUUGGGCAACUUGAUUGCUUAGUAGCGUAGCUAACGCGUGAAAUUGACCGCCUGGGGAGUACGACCGCAAGGUUGAAACUCAAAGGAAUUGACGGGGGCCCGCACAAGCGGUGGAGCAUGUGGUUUAAUUCGAAGCAACGCGAAGAACCUUACCAGGUCUUGACAUCCCUCUGACCACUCUAGAGAUAGAGUUUUCUUCGGGACAGAGG